CCUAUAUAAACAAGGCAGUACAGCUACAGGAGGACAGGCAGUAACAUUGCCUGGCUGGAGGGCUGCUGAGAACAUCCUGGAGGUCUCUCAGCUGGGAGAAAUGUUGUAUCUGAAAUGCAUCAGCAUAGCAGAUUGACUAUAGAAGCAAUUCUUUGGUCUCCAGACAGAAGAGAGGAAUCAUGUCAGAGAAUCCACCUUUUCUUCACCAUUUUAAGCUUUGGGUGCUCUGCAGUGGUGGGUUGUACACCCGUGGUGGGAAUUCUUGUCCCACCACCCUGGGAAUUACCCUGACCAGGUCGUUAUCCAUGCGUGCUAAGGGGUUGUCUUGGCUGGCAUUGCCAACUUCUUUGGUCCAACCAAAUAGCUGUGUUUCAAGAGCUGUAUGGAAACUCUCUGAUGCCAUGGCAGAUGCAGAAGUCAGAAAUCAAACUUAUGUCACUGAAUUUAUCCUCCUGGGCUUUGAAAUUCUUCCAGAAUUGCGGGUGCUUCUCUUCCUGCUGUUUCUACCUUGCAACCACGGCUGGGAACAUCCUCAUCAUUACACUUAUUAUAGCAGUUCAGAAUCUGCACAUCCCCAUGUACUUCUUCCUGGGGAACUUCUCCUGCUUGGAGACCUGCUAUACCUGCACCCUCCUGCCCAAGAUGCUGGCCAGCUUCCUCGCUGGAGACGGAACCAUUUCAUUCUCUGGCUGCUUCAUGGAAUUAUUUUUCUUCGGUGUGUUGUCUCUUAUCCGUGAUGUCUUAUGAUCGGUACUUAGCCAUAUGUAAACCACUGCAUUACACAGCCCUAAUGAGUGAGAGAUUGUUUCAAUCUUGCUGCUGGCGCAUGGAAGAGUGGAUUUCUAGUUGUCUCAACUGUAUAAUCUCUUCUUGUUACAAUUAAGGUUCUGUGGCCCCAAUCAAGUUGACCAUUUCUUUUGUGACUACUUACCACUGAUUAAACUCUCCUGCAGCAACAUCUUUGAGGUUGAACUUGUAGUUUUCAUUCUGGGUUGUACAGUGCUUUUUUCCCCCAUCCCUUUUGAUUCUCAUGUCCUACAUCUACAUUAUCACCACCAUAGUGAGAAUCCCUUCCACUACUGGAAGACAAAAGGCUUUUUCCACUUGUUCUUCACAUAUUACAAUGGUGACAAUUUUCUAUGGAUCUAUAACUAUGGUCUACCUGUUCUCAAGAACCAACACUCUUAGAGCCUUGAACAAAAUAUUCUCUCUUCUCUACACUGUGCUGACUCCAUUGGCCAACCCUUUUAUUUACAGCCUGCAAAACAAGGAAGUCAAGGAGGCUGUAAAGAAAGCUGUCUGUGUUUUCAGAGCCCGGAAAAAAUACAACCAUUUCUAAACUCUAGUUGCAGGUCCAAGCAAAAUCAAAAUAACAGGAAUCAGAGGUGUGGAAAAUGAAUGGCUCCUGGCCCAGCUGUUUUGGGGAAUUUUAAAAGAAAGAGAAUCUUUAUAGUGAUACGAUACACUUCAAUUCCUGUUCUAAGGCCGGGAGUGUCCUGACACCACAGUAUUCAUUUUUAAAUUGUCCCAGAUGAGAAGAGUGAAUGGAUUUUGCAGGAUGACGCCUACGUGCCUCUAGCUAGUACACCCACAUAUUCUUCAAGCACAGGCUUCCUACACGUAGAUGUGUUCCCCAUGUGCACAAGCUGUUAUUGAGCAGUGGCUAAUGUAGUAAAAACCUAGCCUCUUCUACUAAUUGGUCUUGGGGUUAAACCCUAACCCCAAAAACCUAAUUAAUUUGCUCAGAAGAAUGUCAGAAAUGACAUGAACACAGCCAAGAAGAGCUUUACUCCAUCUCUAUCUCAUAGACAAAGAGUUCAUUUGGAAAUGUGUUUCACUUAACUCACACCUGACCCUGUGUAGAUUUAUACUGUGGUCUGGUACAAGAAUGACAGAAUUACUAGUAUAGAGGUUUUCAAAACUUCCAGCUUUCAAGGAGGAUCCCAACACCCUGUGAUUUGAAAGCAAGAACUGUUUUGCAUUAAGGAAGAAUAGGAGACCACAGGAUUA